rnacentral:rRNA from 1 species
AAACCGUUCAGGGGUAAACCUGUGAAACCCAAAAGAUCGAAUGGGGAGAUUCAUCGCCAGCGGCGUGGGCUUCCUUGUGGUUUGCGAUGUUCGGGGCUUCGGCUUCGGGUCACGCUUCCGCUGUGGUAUGUCCUGCGCUGUCGGCGUGCACUUCUCCCCUAGUAGAACGUCGCGACCCGUUGGGUGCUGGCCUACGGCCCGGCUUGGUCGACUGUCGCGUCGCGUUCACGCGCGCACACGGCAGACCGUCGGUUUGCCCGGCCUGCUGCCCGGCGGUAUAGAUCGCUAUAAAAUUGGUAUUGGGCCGCAUUAAGUGCGUUCAGGCACGUUGGCAUGCCGCGUCUCGCUCGGAUUUACGGACCUAGUGCCGUUGCCGGGUGCUUGACGUGGUCAUUCGUCGACGGUGUCCUCGGACUGGCUCUUACAUUCGAACGGAUAUACCGGUCGGCGACGCUACUGCUUUGGGUACUUUCAGGA